UGUCCUUGGGUCGGCCUGCCUGGCUGCCGUGGCCACAGCUGAGGGCCUGGGAGGAGGCUGUGAGGCCGUGUGGCUGACCGAGUCACAUCUUGGGGUAAAGGGGCUGUGGCUGCGGGCCAAGACCUGUCUGCCCUCUGUAUUUCCCGCCAGGAAAUAGGACAAAGGCAGUAACUUUGGUUUCUGGUGCUACCACUACAGACCUGAAUCUGGGGCCAAGAGGGAGCAGCUUUCACCCCCUUCGUUCCCUCCACUCCCUACUCCACGAGGUGCAGAGAUGUAGGAGCUACCCGGAAGGCCGGCUGCCCACGGGGGUGAGAAUUGUUAGAAAGACUUCAGUCCUCCCCGGAAGAGGUCCCUGCAGGCUAAGGAACUUGCUGAGCAUCCCCGCAGCAAGCUGGCCUUGGCGGUCAUGAAGCGACUAGAGUACCUGAACCCUGCGAGGCCUUCUGUCACCCACUAGCCAGGGAAGGAAUAGGAAUCCGGGCUGUCCACCUGUCAGUAUCUACUGUGGCCCCACCAUGGGGAGGGCCCGAUGUUUGCAGAUGUAAGCUGGCUGCAGUCACUCAUCCAGCAGACGGGCAGGUGCAGUCUAGUAGACCCACCAGCACCCUGUGCGUGGACACUCACUGGAGGGUCGAACACUGAGAGCUGCGGGGACUGCUUUUACCUCACUCACUGCUUUCCUUAAAAUCCGGGUGUCCUCAGCUUGGGCCAAGUACUGAGCCUCAAACAGGGCAAUGUCUUCUUCCAGUUGCUGGGCUCGAGUGGUGAGCUGGUCCACAUACAGGUCCUGGGAAACAGGAUGAGAAGCAGCCCCGUCAGGAGGUGCCCGUGGCUGAGGGCCUGUUCUCCACCAACCCUUGAUACAAG
rnacentral:lncRNA from 1 species